rnacentral:rRNA from 1 species
GACGAACGCUGGCGGCGUGCUUAACACAUGCAAGUCGAACGGAAAGGCCCUGCUUUUGUGGGGUGCUCGAGUGGCGAACGGGUGAGUAACACGUGUGUAACCUGCCCUUGACUUUGGGAUAACUUCAGGAAACUGGGGCUAAUACCGGAGAUGAGCUCCUGCUGCAUGGUGGGGGGUGGAAAGUUUCGGCUGUUGGGGAUGGACUCGCGGCUUAUCAGCUUGUUGGUGGGGUAGUGGCUUACCAAGGCUUUGACGGGUAGCCGGCCUGAGAGGGUGACCGGCCACAUUGGGACUGAGAUACGGCCCAGACUCCUACGGGAGGCAGCAGUGGGGAAUAUUGCACAAUGGGCGGAAGCCUGAUGCAGCAACGCCGCGUGCGGGAUGACGGCCUUCGGGUUGUAAACAGCUUUCGAAUGUGACGAAGAGUGCGUGACGGUAAUGGGUCAAGAAGCACCGGCUAACUACGUG